rnacentral:rRNA from 1 species
AACGAACGCUGGCGGCAUGCCUAACACAUGCAAGUCGAACGCGUGUAGCAAUACACGAGUGGCGGACGGGUGAGUAACGCGUGGGAACCUGCCCAAUGGUAGGGAAUAACUGCGGGAAACUGCAGCUAAUACCCUAUGCUCCCUACGGGGGAAAGAUUUAUCGCCAUUGGAGGGGCCCGCGUCGGAUUAGCUAGUUGGCGGGGUAACGGCCCACCAAGGCUACGAUCCGUAGCUGGUCNGAGAGGAUGAUCAGCCACACUGGGACUGAGAUACGGCCCAGACUCCUACGGGAGGCAGCAGUGGGGAAUAUUGGACAAUGGGGGAAACCCUGAUCCAGCAAUGCCGCGUGAGUGAAGAAGGCCUUAGGGUUGUAAAGCUCUUUCGGCGGGGACGAUGGUGACGGUACCCGCAGAAGAAGCCCC